rnacentral:rRNA from 1 species
GAUGAACGCUGGCGGCGCGCCUAACACAUGCAAGUCGAACGGCACCCCUCUCCGGAGGGAAGCGAGUGGCGAACGGCUGAGUAACACGUGGAGGACCUGCCCCCUCCCCCGGGAUAGCCGCCCGAAAGGACGGGUAAUACCGGAUACCCCGGGGUGCCGCAUGGCACCCCGGCUAAAGCCCCGACGGGAGGGGAUGGCUCCGCGGCCCAUCAGGUAGACGGCGGGGUGACGGCCCACCGUGCCGACAACGGGUAGCCGGGUUGAGAGACCGACCGGCCAGAUUGGGACUGAGACACGGCCCAGACUCCUACGGGAGGCAGCAGUGGGGAAUCUUGCGCAAUGGGGGGAACCCUGACGCAGCGACGCCGCGUGCGGGACGGAGGCCUUCGGGUCGUAAACCGCUUUCAGCAGGGAAGAGUCAAGACUGUACCUGCAGAAGAAGCCCCGGCUAACUACGUGCCAGCAGCCGCGGUAAUACGUAGGGGGCGAGCGUUAUCCGGAUUCAUUGGGCGUAAGCGCGCGUAGGCGGCCCGGCAGGCCGGGGGUCGAAGCGGGGGGCUCAACCCCCCGAAGCCCCCGGAACCUCCGCGGCUUGGGUCCGGUAGGGGAGGGUGGAACACCCGGUGUAGCGGUGGAAUGCGCAGAUAUCGGGUGGAACACCGGUGGCGAAGGCGGCCCUCUGGGCCGAGACCGACGCUGAGGCGCGAAAGCUGGGGGAGCGAACAGGAUUAGAUACCCUGGUAGUCCCAGCCGUAAACGAUGGACGCUAGGUGUGGGGGGACGAUCCCCCCGUGCCGCAGCCAACGCAUUAAGCGUCCCGCCUGGGGAGUACGGCCGCAAGGCUAAAACUCAAAGGAAUUGACGGGGGCCCGCACAAGCAGCGGAGCAUGUGGCUUAAUUCGAAGCAACGCGAAGAACCUUACCAGGGCUUGACAUAUGGGUGAAGCGGGGGAGACCCCGUGGCCGAGAGGAGCCCAUACAGGUGGUGCAUGGCUGUCGUCAGCUCGUGUCGUGAGAUGUUGGGUUAAGUCCCGCAACGAGCGCAACCCCCGCCGCGUGUUGCCAUCGGGUGAUGCCGGGAACCCACGCGGGACCGCCGCCGUCAAGGCGGAGGAGGGCGGGGACGACGUCAAGUCAUCAUGCCCCUUAUGCCCUGGGCUGCACACGUGCUACAAUGGCCGGUACAGAGGGAUGCCACCCCGCGAGGGGGAGCGGAUCCCGGAAAGCCGGCCCCAGUUCGGAUUGGGGGCUGCAACCCGCCCCCAUGAAGUCGGAGUUGCUAGUAAUCGCGGAUCAGCAUGCCGCGGUGAAUGCGUUCCCGGGCCU